rnacentral:rRNA from 1 species
CCCCAUACCCAUACCACCCUGAACAUGCCCUAUCUCGUCUGGUCUUGGAAGCUAAGCAGGGUCGGGCCUGGUUAGUACUUGGGGGACUGCCUGGGAAUACCGGGUGCUGUAGGCC